AGAAAAUAGUAAGCACUGCUAAUCCUUACAUUCCGCUGUUAAAUUCCGCGGCUUCCUC
rnacentral:tRNA from 1 species